AUUCCGAUAACGAACGAGACUCUGGCCUGCUAAAUAGGCCGCCGGUUUCCGCGCGACCCGGCGUCAUGCGACUCGUUGCCGACGUUCGGGCCCUCGCGCGCGCCGGCGGGACUUCUUAGAGGGACAAGCGGCGUUUAGCCGCGCGAGAUUGAGCAAUAACAGGUCUGUGAUGCCCUUAGAUGUCCGGGGCCGCACGCGCGCUACACUGAAGGGAUCAGCGUGGCCUCCCCCCUGGCCCGAGAGGGCUGGGAAACCCGUUGAAUCCCCUUCGUGCUAGGGAUCGGGGCUUGUAAUUAUUCCCCGUGAACGAGGAAUUCCCAGUAAGCGCGGGUCAUAAGCCCGCGUUGAUUACGUCCCUGCCCUUUGUACACACCGCCCGUCGCUACUAUCGAUUGAGCGGUUCAGUGAGGGCAUCGGAUCGGUCGCGGCCUGGGGUUUGCGCCCCGUGCCCGCGCGCCGAGAAGACGCUCGAACUCGAUCGCUUGGAGAAAGUAAAAGUCGUAACAAGGUUUCCGUA
rnacentral:rRNA from 1 species